UACAGGGGGUGCAAACGUUGCUCGGAAUCAUUGGGCGUAAAGCGCACGUAGGCGGUUUGUUAUGUCGGACGUGAAAGCCCUUGGCUCAACUGAGGAAGUGCAUCCGAAACUGGCAAGCUAGAGUACUAAAGAGGGUCGCGGAAUUCCCGGUGUAGAGGUGAAAUUCGUAGAUAUCGGGAGGAACACCGGUGGCGAAGGCGGCGACCUGGGUAGAUACUGACGCUGAGGUGCGAAAGCGUGGGGAGCAAACAGG
rnacentral:rRNA from 1 species